UACGAAGGGGGCUAGCGUUGUUCGGAUUUACUGGGCGUAAAGCGCACGUAGGCGGAUCUUUAAGUCAGAGGUGAAAUCCCAAGGCUCAACCUUGGAACUGCCUUUGAUACUGGGGAUCUUGAGUCCGGGAGAGGUGAGUGGAACUGCGAGUGUAGAGGUGAAAUUCGUAGAUAUUCGCAAGAACACCAGUGGCGAAGGCGGCUCACUGGCCCGGUACUGACGCUGAGGCGCGAAAGCGUGGGGAGCAAACAGG
rnacentral:rRNA from 1 species